GGCGUGCCUAACACAUGCAAGUCGAGCGGGGCUUGGGGAAGCGCUUGCGCUUCGUUGGGUCUAGCGGCGGACGGGUGAGUAACGCGUGGGUAACCUGCCGAUCACUGGGGAAUAACAAUGAGAAAUCAUUGCUAAUGCCUCAUAAGCUCACGACAUCGCAUGGUGAUGUGAGAAAAGAUUUAUCGGUGAUUGAGGGGCCCGCGUCUGAUUAGCUAGUUGGAGAGGUAACGGCUCACCAAGGCGACGAUCAGUAGCCGACCUGAGAGGGUGAUCGGCCACAUUGGGACUGAGACACGGCCCAAACUCCUACGGGAGGCAGCAGUGGGGAAUAUUGCACAAUGGGGGGAACCCUGAUGCAGCAACGCCGCGUGAAGGAAGAAGGCUUUCGGGUCGUAAACUUCUAUCGAUGGGGAAGAAAGAAAUGACGGUACCCAAGUAAGAAGCCCCGGCUAACUACGUGCCAGCAGCCGCGGUAAAACGUAGGGGGCAAGCGUUAUCCGGAAUUACUGGGGUGUAAAGGGUGAGUAGGCGGAUCGGUAAGUCAUAUGUGAAAUCCCACUGCUUAACGGUGGAACUGCAUAAGAAACUAUUGAUCUAGAGUACAGGAGAGGCAAGCGGAAUUCCUAGUGUAGCGGUGAAAUGCGUAGAUAUUAGGAAGAACACCAGUGGCGAAGGCGGCUUGCUGGACUGAAACUGACGCUGAGUCACGAAAGCGUGGGGAGCGAACAGGAUUAGAUACCCUGGUAGUCCACGCUGUAAACGAUGAAUGCUAGGUGUCGGUAUGGACAUAUCGGUGCCGGAGUAAACACAAUAAGCAUUCCACCUGGGGAGUACGGCCGCAAGGUUG
rnacentral:rRNA from 1 species